GGUGAAUGUAGAACAUGAGGAGGCGUAUGUAGAACAUGAGGAGGUGUAUGUAGAACAUGAGGAGGUGUAUGUAGAGCACGAGGAGGUGCAUGUAGAGGUGCAUGUAGAACAUGAGGAGGUGCAUGUAGAGGUGCAUGUAGAACAUGAGGAGGUGCAUGUAGAACAUGAGGAGGUGCAUGUAGAGGUGCAUGUAGAACAUGAGGAGGUGUAUGUAGAGGUGCAUGUAGAACAUGAGGAGGUGUAUGUAGAGGUGCAUGUAGAACAUGAGGAGGUGCAUGUAGAACAUGAGGAGGUGUAUGUAGAGGUGCAUGUAGAACAUGAGGAGGUGUAUGUAGAGGUGCAUGUAGAACACGAGGAGGUGCAUGUAGAACACGAGGAGGUGCAUGUAGAACAUGAGGAGGUGCAUGUAGAACACGCGGAGGUACAUGUAGAACCCGAGGAGGUGCAUGUAGAACAUGAGGAGGUGUAUGUAGAACAUGAGGAGGUGUAUGUAGAGGUGCAUGUAGAACAUGAGGAGGUGCAUGUAGAACAUGAGGAGGUGCAUGUAGAACAUGAGGAGGUGUAUGUAGAACAUGAGGAGGUGCAUGUAGAACACGCGGAGGUACAUGUAGAACACGAGGAGGUGCAUGUAGAACACGAGGAGGUGCAUGUAGAACAUGAGGAGGUGUAUGUAGAGGUGCAUGUAGAACAUGAGGAGGUGCAUGUAGAACAUGAGGAGGUGUAUGUAGAACAUGAGGAGGUGUAUGUAGAGGUGCAUGUAGAACACAAGGAGGUGCAUGUAGAACAUGAGGUGUAUGUAGAGGUGCAUGUAGAACA